UGGGGAAUUUUGCACAAUGGGGGCAACCCUGAUGCAGCGACGCCGCGUGAUUUAGAAGGCCUUCGGGUUGUAAAAAUCUUUUGUAUAGGAAGAAAAUGACAGUACUAUACGAAUAAGGUCCGGCUAAUUACGUGCCAGCAGCCGCGGUAAUACGUAAGGACCGAGCGUUGUCCGGAAUCAUUGGGCGUAAAGGGUACGUAGGCGGUUAAAAAAGUUAGAAGUGAAAGGCUAUAGCUCAACUAUAGUAAGCUUUUAAAACUGUUUAACUUGAGAGAUGGAAGGGAAAGUGGAAUUCCUAGUGUAGCGGUGAAAUGCGCAGAUAUUAGGAGGAAUACCGGUGGCGAAGGCGACUUUCUGGCCAUUAUCUGACGCUGAGGUACGAAAGCGUGGGUAGCAAACAGG
rnacentral:rRNA from 1 species